rnacentral:rRNA from 1 species
GAUGAACGCUGGCGGCGUGCUUAACACAUGCAAGUCGAACGGAAAGGCCCAAGCUUGCCUGGGUACUCGAGUGGCGAACGGGUGAGUAACACGCGGGUGAUCUGCCCUGCACUUCGGGAUAAGCCCUGGAAACUGGGUCUAAUACCGGAUAGGACGAUGGUUUGGAUGCUAUUGUGGAAAGUUUUUUCGGUGUGGGAUGAGCUCGCGGCCUAUCAGCUUUUUGGUGGGGUAGUGGGAGACCAAGUCGUCGGCGGGUAGCCGGCCUGCGAGGGUGGAGGGCGACAUUGGGACUGGGAUGCGGCCCAGGCUCCUACGGGGGGCAGCAGUGGGGAAUAUUGAACAAUGGGGGAGAGACGGAGGCAGCGAGGCGGCGUGGGGGGUGACGGCCUUCGGGUUGGAAACUCCUUUCGCUAGGGACGAAGCGUUUUUGUGACGGUACCUGGAGAAGAAGCACCGGCUAACUACGUG